CAUAGGGAAAGGGCGUGUCAGAGGGAAUCUGCUCCCCUCCUAGCAGCAAGGAAGCAGAAAGAAGAGCGAAAGAGCUUCGAGAAGAUGUACCUUUCUAGGGUGGACCCCGAAUGACGGUCCUCCUCCAGCCAUGCCCCACCUGCCCACAGUUAACCACUGAGUCCAUUCAAACGAGGAUGGACUGAUUAUGUUACAGCUCUCAAAAUCCACUUUCCCUGUAGACAGUCUUGCAUUAACACAGGAGCUUUUGGGGGACACCUCACAUCCCAAUCAUAACAGUUGUGCUGUGCCUGAGAAAAAUGUAUGUUACAUGAGCUUUGUUCAGCCUUGGCCUUGUGUUCAACUGCACUGAUUCAACAAUAUAUAUUAAGUAAGGUGUCUUUAAACAAAGACACUCGUAAUACAAAGUUACAUGUUGAUUGGUUGACAAAAAUGUUGUGAAUAGGGAACUCUCAGGAGCCUGACCAUGUAUUUGCUGUAGAAACAGUGAUUCAGUAUUCACUGAUUUCAGUGCUUGUGGCAGCUUUAAAGAAUGUAACUACCUCAGUAAGGCUCCAUGUAUGAGUUGAGUGACGUUUUAAAGGAUCAUUCUGACGACUGUAACUAUGAGUGGCAAUUAGGAAGCUGAGAGGCCAGCAUGUAUGUAGUUUUAAAUUUUGCUACUAACCAUGUUAGAAAGCAUAAAAAAGAGAAGUGAAAUUAAUUUGAGCAGUACUGUUUAAUGUAAUCAAAUAUAUGCAAAAUACUGUUUCAAUAUUAAAUCAUUAUAUAAAUAUACCAAUGAUAUAUUUUACUUUUCCCCCACACUGACUUUGAAACCCUUUGUGUGUUUUAUAUUUACAACAUUUCUUAAUGUAGGCCAGCCUCGUUGAAGAGCUCAGUGGCAAUAUAUGAUGUGUGCUACUGUGCUGGACAGCACAAACCUAGAAUGUUCAUUUAUUUAUUUGACUAAGCAAGGUCUUGUUUUUGGCCUGGAAAUAUACAAAAUGGAAUGAAGCCCAAUUUCUUCCCAAAGUGCACACAGUCCAGCUAGGAAAACUGAUAUAGUAGCUUAUGUUGAAGACAUUGAAGUGCUUGAGAGCUUAGGGGAAGGAGUACCCAGACAAGGCUUUGUAGAGGAAGUGGACAUUUAAGCUGGGAAUUUAAGGACAGGUAGAAGUUCCCCAGGUGUAAGAAGUGGUGAAGGGCACUCAGGGCAGUGACAGCUGUUAUGCAGAGUCAUAGAGAAAUGCAAUGCAGUGUUCCUGGCAAAGGGCAAGCUGCUCUGUUUGGCUGGAUGGGAGGGUGUGAAAUGGAAGGGAAGAGGGUGAGGAAAGAUGAGGGUCUUGUAGACUAGUCUAUGGAAUUUAGAAUUGAUCCAAUUCAAUAGGUAAUGGGGAAUGUUGACAAUUUUGGGCAGAGUGAUGUGGCAAGAUUUGUGUUUUUGACAGGCCAUUC
rnacentral:lncRNA from 1 species